UUACGCUGUUAUCCCUUAGGUAAUUUAGUCUUAUAAUCAACAAGAAUGGAUCAAAUUAUUAUAAAUAAAUAUAUAAAUAAAAAAAAGAGUUUAUUAAUUCAUUUUCAUCACCCCAACAAAAUAAAUUCUAUAAUAAAUACCUUUAACAAACAAAACAAUUAUAAAAUUUAUUAAACUCUAUAGGGUCUUCUCGUCCCAUAAAAAAAUUUAAGCAUUUUAACUUAAAACUUAAAUUCAAAAUAUAUUAUUAAGAAACAGUGUAUUCCUCGUCCAACCAUUCAUUCUAGUCUUCAAUUAAAAGACUAAUGAUUAUGCUACCUUUGCACGGUCAAAAUACCGCGGCCCUUUAAAAUUAAUCAGUGGGCAGGUUAUACUUCAAAAUAAAAACAAGAAGAGAUGUUUUUGAUAAACAGGCG
rnacentral:rRNA from 1 species